rnacentral:rRNA from 1 species
UACGAAGGGGCUAGCGUUGCUCGGAAUUACUGGGCGUAAAGGGCGCGUAGGCGGCUUAGUUAGUCAGGCGUGAAAUUCCUGGGCUCAACCUGGGGACUGCGCUUGAUACGGCUAGGCUAGAGGAUGGAAGAGGGUCGCGGAAUUCCCAGUGUAGAGGUGAAAUUCGUAGAUAUUGGGAAGAACACCGGUGGCGAAGGCGGCGACCUGGUCCA